AUGUAAUAUUGCAUGUUACCGAUUACAUAAUAACCAUCAUAGUAAUUCUUGUUGAGGUAUCGCCAGUUGAUAACAUAUUGAUUCACUAUUUUCACCAUUGUAACCUUGAACUUGACUAGCGUAUUCACCGUUUCUGGGGAGUGUCUGCAAUCUUGUAUUAGUAACUGUUAAUUGUACCUUUUGUAUCGUUUAUAUUAAUAAUUAUGGAUCCAGCAGUCUUCCCCGAAGAAAUAUGGAUAAAAAUUUUAUUAUAUUGUGAUGUACCUGAUAUUAUUGCUUUCGGUAGCACAUGCAAAUACUUAAGAAAAACGUCAGACACAGACUACCUAUGGAAAAUGAAAUGGCAAGAACUGAUUUCAAAAGUACACUUUAGGUUUCCAGACAUAAAGUGUCUACAACUACUUAGUGUUAGUUUUAAAGCAAUGUGUUACAGAUUACAUAUGGUACUCACAUUAGGAGAAAAUGUACCAUUUCCAAAAUGUUACCACUGUAGUGGUUACACAUGUCAGAGAAAUUGUGUUGAAGGUACCAGUGCUAAAGUAGUAAUUGAAAUUGGAAACAAAUACACAUGGGUUAUUACACCAAAUUUUGGCUUGAGAAGACAUUUAUCAAUGUUUGGUAUACCUAAAUAUAAUAAUGAAACGCACUUGGAACAAACUCAAACACAAAAUGUUCCAAGUAGUAGUACACGCUCAAAGUGUGAUGGAAAGUUAUUGGCAAAAAAGCUAAAAUUGCUGAAGUUAGAAACUAAAGUUCCAAGACCCAGUGGUCCAUUUUGUAUUUUCUGUAAUCCGGUAAAAUUAUAUAGAGAAAAGAAAAGAUUAACCACACAUCAGAAUGAUCCAACAUGCUAUACGAGGCCAAAUCCAACUUAUGAGAAACUUAUAAAUGGAUAUUGUACUGAUACUGUUGAAGUUCUUGGAAUUCCAAAUGUCGAUGUUGUCAGUCCAGCAGAAGCAUUGAGUGAUGGAUCUUUUACAGUUCUCAAAACAUUUGUUGAUCACUUGUUCCAGCAGAUGCAUUUAACUUCAACCCUAAGAAAACCUAAUGCAGUGCUUAUGUUCUCUGAACCAUUAGCAAUGCAUCCAACACUCAGAAAACAGUUGCUGCACUAUUUAUUCCAAGAAGUUAAAGUAGCAAGAGUGUGUUUGGUACCUAAACCUUUAGCAGCGUGUGCAAUGUUAGGUGUGGAGACCUGUGUCAUUGUUGAUAGUGGAGCUCUUAGCACAACAGUAGCUGUUGUGAUUGGAGGCCGUGUCGUACCAGAACGUUGGAGAUUGUUGCCUGUAGGUGGUUGGCAUGUAGCUUACCAUUUGAAGCAAGCUAUGCAUUGGCAACCAAAGGAGUAUCAUCAAAUUCCUAUAUCGUAUUUGGAUACCCUAACUGUUAAAGAAAAAUGUAGACUAAGUUAUAAUAUUAAAAAUGAAGAAAAACGAGUAGGACAAAAAUCCAAAGAACAUAUUAAUCUUAGCUUUGAUAGCUAUGCUGCUGCUUAUAAGCAACACUGGAGAGUUUCCUUCGAUUCAGAAUUAUAUAUUGCUCCUGAAAUGAUGUACAUUAAUCUUGGCUUACCACAAGUAAUAAAAGAUGUUACAUCUGGUUUGUCAGAAGAUUUAAUGUAUGAUUGCCUCUCAAAUAUCUUGCUUACUGGAGGCAACACUGAUCUUUCAGGUUUCGAGUUAAGAUUAACUAAAGAUUUACAAGAGUUGUUGUCUGAACAUAGUAAAAUUCUAGAAGUGAGAAAUUGUCCUGGUACACAUAGUUGGCAUGUUGCUAUGGGUUCCACUUAUGUGCCUUUAGCUGUACAUCCUGGUAAAACUCCUCCUGAAUAUGUAGAAGGUAAUUCAUUUUGGUUAUCAAGGGAAGAAUAUGUCUUGUUCGGAUGCGAGUCGCUGGAGCAGUAAAACAAUAAUAAGUGAUUCUAUGAAAUGUUAGUACCGCACUUAUUACAUAAAUGAAAAAUCCUCGCAUGCGCAAAAAAUCUUAUGAAAGUAAAAAUUACCAUCAAGGAACAAGUCUUUUCAUCAGUUGCCUUUAAAUAAGACGGAUCUUGUAUUAAUAGAUCAUUGAAAAGACAUUCCAUGAUGAGACACUUCAGAAAAAUUCAAUAUUGAUACAUUGGAACCCAACCUCAUACAAGGGGAGAUUUAAACUCUCUCAGCAUGUACGCAGUGAAUAAUAGGGUAGACUGAAAACUAGGUAUUUAAGGUAGACAUAUCUCCGUGCCUAUGUUGCUAUUCAUAAAUCUAACGUUAUCCUUUCUCCAUGUAUCCUCAUAUGCUGCUAAAAAUUGAUCUGCAAUAACAAUGAAUCUCUAGAAAUUCUUUCUCAAAACGCUAAUACUAUAUUUCGUUUAAAAAAGAAUAGCUGAAAUGCGUUCAUACUUAUAGUAGCUGUUUACCCCAUCCCAAUUACUAUAAACUUGCAACAUAGAAAUAAAAUGAACAGCUGUUCUGACUAUGAAUGUAUCUCAGAUGCUUUCUUCCGAGAAAUAGACUGUCAUUACUAUAUUGUCUAACCCAAUUUUGUGUUUCAAUAAUCAAUAUGUCAUUCUUGUAGA